rnacentral:rRNA from 1 species
AGUGAACGCUGGCGGUAGGCCUAACACAUGCAAGUCGAACGGCAGCACAGUAAGAGCUUGCUCUUACGGGUGGCGAGUGGCGGACGGGUGAGGAAUACAUCGGAAUCUACUUUUUCGUAGGGGAUAACGUAGGGAAACUUACGCUAAUACCGCAUACGACCUCCGGGUGAAAGCAGGGGAUCUUCGGACCUUGCGCGAUUGAAUGAGCCGAUGUCGGAUUAGCUAGUUGGCGGGGUAAAGGCCCACCAAGGCGACGAUCCGUAGCUGGUCUGAGAGGAUGAUCAGCCACACUGGAACUGAGACACGGUCCAGACUCCUACGGGAGGCAGCAGUGGGGAAUAUUGGACAAUGGGCGCAAGCCUGAUCCAGCCAUACCGCGUGGGUGAAGAAGGCCUUCGGGUUGUAAAGCCCUUUUGUUGGGAAAGAAAAGCAGCAGGUUAAUACCCCGCUGUUCUGACGGUACCCAAAGAAUAAGCACCGGCUAACUUCGUG